GGAUGUGGACAAUUUCUACAGUAGUCCUUACCUAUUUCAAAAACUGGCUUCAAACAGCACUGCUGCAUGUGGCACCAUCCGGCAAAAUCGUGUGGGAUUCCCCAAAACAACACUGAACAACCUUCCAAGAUCUGCACAGAGGGGAGAGAUGCGGUGGAUCAGAAAAGACGGACUCCUAUUUAUCAAGUGGAAGGACACCAAGGAGGUGACGGUCUGCAGCACCUUCCACAAAUCUUUCAGUGGAGCAACUGUAAAGAGGAGAGUCAAAGAGGCAGGGCACUGGGUAGUGAAAGAUAUUCCCGUUCCUGACUCUGUGAAAGACUACAAUAAAUUUAUGGGAGGAGUUGAUCUGUCUGAUGCCCUGAUCCAAUACUACUCAGUCAGAAACAAGACAAUGAAGUGAAAAAAGAGAGGAAAAGGCCAUUUCCCAACGGCAAUUCAGAGAGAAACUCAUGGAGGAGCUCAUACUGGAGUCCAAAGGAGAAACAGCUUGUCCUCAACCAAGCACAUCAUUUUCGGCUCAACCCGGUGCAUUCAAAUGCCCUGGGUCAGUUCCCAGAUACUUUGGGGGAACAGCAGAGGAAAAGCGAAGGAUUUGUGUGUGGUGCAAGCAGAAUGGCAG